rnacentral:rRNA from 1 species
UACGUAGGGGGCAAGCGUUGUCCGGAUUCAUUGGGCGUAAAGAGCGUGUAGGCGGCCAGGUAGGUCGGUUGUGAAAACUGGAGGCUCAACCUUCAGAGGUCGACCGAAACCAUCUGGCUAGAGUCCGGGAGAGGAGAGUGGAAUUCCUGGUGUAGCGGUGAAAUGCGCAGAUAUCAGGAAGAACACCCGUGGCGAAAGCGGCUCUCUGGAACGGUACUGACGCUGAGACGCGAAAGCGUGGGAGCAAACAGG